rnacentral:rRNA from 1 species
UUGCUCCACCGGAAAAAGAAGAGUGGCGAACGGGUGAGUAACACGUGGGUAACCUGCCCAUCAGAAGGGGAUAACACUUGGAAACAGGUGCUAAUACCGUAUAACAAUCGAAACCGCAUGGUUUUGAUUUGAAAGGCGCUUUCGGGUGUCGCUGAUGGAUGGACCCGCGGUGCAUUAGCUAGUUGGUGAGGUAACGGCUCACCAAGGCCACGAUGCAUAGCCGACCUGAGAGGGUGAUCGGCCACAUUGGGACUGAGACACGGCCCAAACUCCUACGGGAGGCAGCAGUAGGGAAUCUUCGGCAAUGGACGAAAGUCUGACCGAGCAACGCCGCGUGAGUGAAGAAGGUUUUCGGAUCGUAAAACUCUGUUGUUAGAGAAGAACAAGGAUGAGAGUAACUGUUCAUCCCUUGACGGUAUCUAACCAGAAAGCCACGGCUAACUACGUGCCAGCAGCCGCGGUAAUACGUAGGUGGCAAGCGUUGUCCGGAUUUAUUGGGCGUAAAGCGAGCGCAGGCGGUUUCUUAAGUCUGAUGUGAAAGCCCCCGGCUCAACCGGGGAGGGUCAUUGGAAACUGGGAGACUUGAGUGCAGAAGAGGAGAGUGGAAUUCCAUGUGUAGCGGUGAAAUGCGUAGAUAUAUGGAGGAACACCAGUGGCGAAGGCGGCUCUCUGGUCUGUAACUGACGCUGAGGCUCGAAAGCGUGGGGAGCAAACAGGAUUAGAUACCCUGGUAGUCCACGCCGUAAACGAUGAGUGCUAAGUGUUGGAGGGUUUCCGCCCUUCAGUGCUGCAGCUAACGCAUUAAGCACUCCGCCUGGGGAGUACGACCGCAAGGUUGAAACUCAAAGGAAUUGACGGGGGCCCGCACAAGCGGUGGAGCAUGUGGUUUAAUUCGAAGCAACGCGAAGAACCUUACCAGGUCUUGACAUCCUUUGACCACUCUAGAGAUAGAGCUUCCCCUUCGGGGGCAAAGUGACAGGUGGUGCAUGGUUGUCGUCAGCUCGUGUCGUGAGAUGUUGGGUUAAGUCCCGCAACGAGCGCAACCCUUAUUGUUAGUUGCCAUCAUUCAGUUGGGCACUCUAGCAAGACUGCCGGUGACAAACCGGAGGAAGGUGGGGAUGACGUCAAAUCAUCAUGCCCCUUAUGACCUGGGCUACACACGUGCUACAAUGGGAAGUACAACGAGUCGCGAAGUCGCGAGGCUAAGCUAAUCUCUUAAAGCUUCUCUCAGUUCGGAUUGUAGGCUGCAACUCGCCUACAUGAAGCCGGAAUCGCUAGUAAUCGCGGAUCAGCACGCCGCGGUGAAUACGUUCCCGGGCCUUGUACACACCGCCCGUCACACCACGAGAGUUUGUAACACCCGAAGUCG